rnacentral:rRNA from 1 species
UACAGAGGGGGCAAGCGUUGUUCGGAAUUACUGGGCGUAAAGGGCGCGUAGGCGGCCUGCUAAGUCGGACGUGAAAUCCCCGAGCUCAACUCGGGAACUGCGUCCGAUACUGGCAGGCUUGAAUCCGGGAGAGGGAUGCGGAAUUCCAGGUGUAGCGGUGAAAUGCGUAGAUAUCUGGAGGAACACCGGUGGCGAAGGCGGCAUCCUGGACCGGCAUUGACGCUAAGGCACGAAAGCUAGGGGAGCAAACAGG